rnacentral:rRNA from 1 species
UGAGGAAUAUUGGACAAUGGGCGCAAGCCUGAUCCAGCCAUGCCGCGUGCAGGAAGAAGCAUCUAUGGUGUGUAAACUGCUUUUGUACUGGAAGAAACACUCCUUCGUGAAGGAGCUUGACGGUACCGUAAGAAUAAGGAUCGGCUAACUCCGUGCCAGCAGCCGCGGUAAUACGGAGGAUCCAAGCGUUAUCCGGAAUCAUUGGGUUUAAAGGGUCCGUAGGCGGUUUAGUAAGUCAGUGGUGAAAGCCCAUCGCUCAACGAUGGAACGGCCAUUGGUACUGCUAGACUUGAAUUACAAGGAAGUAACUAGAAUAUGUAGUGUAGCGGUGAAAUGCUUAGAUAUUACGUGGAAUACCAAUUGCGAAGGCAGGUUACUACUUGUGGAUUGACGCUGAUGGACGAAAGCGUGGGGAGCGAACA